rnacentral:rRNA from 1 species
GCAAGAGGAGCCCGAUGACAGGUGCUGCAUGGCUGUCGUCAGCUCGUGUCGUGAGAUGUUGGGUUAAGUCCCGCAACGAGCGCAACCCUUGUCUUUAGUUGCCAUCAUUAAGUUGGGCACUCUAAAGAGACUGCCGUGGACAACACGGAGGAAGGUGGGGAUGACGUCAAAUCAUCAUGCCCCUUAUGAUCUGGGCUACACACGUGCUACAAUGGCCGGUACAACGGGCAGCGAAGGAGCGAUCCGGAGCGAAUCCUAAAAAGCCGGUCCCAGUUCGGAUUGCAGGCUGAAACUCGCCUACAUGAAGUUGGAGUUGCUAGUAAUCGCGAAUCAGAAUGUCGCGGUGAAUGCGUUCCCGGGUCUU